rfam:Picea glauca, whole genome shotgun sequence.
ACAUGCCUACAACAUAGCAUUAAUGCAUUGGAUCCCAUUAGAACUCUGCAGUUAAGCACGCUCAGGAUAGAUUAGUACUCGGAUGGGUGACCACCCAUGAAGUCGUAGUAUUUUACAUGCC